AAAAAUAGUUGUAUUUGUAAGCUGUGGAAUAAACAUUUAGCAAAUAUCCGUUAAAUGAUUCUUUGCAAUAAAGCCAAUCCAUGAGUAAAUGAUGAUGAAGGUGGUAAAAUGAAAUUACUGAAAUAACAAACGGAAUGAUAAACUUAUAUAUAUAUCCAGCUCAAGAAGUCGUGGGUUAAUAAUGAUUACACAAAUGAUCAAAAUUACAACACAUCAUGCAGAGUGCCGCUUAAUGAGUAAAAUAAAAAACAAAAUACAAGUCCAUCUGUAACAAUAUGAAUGACAUUUCUGGUUUGUCAUUAACAACAAAAGUAUGGUUUGUUGUACAACAAAAUGCAGUCACAAAUUAACAACAACAAAAACAUUUAAAUUAUUUUUAACUUUUUAUAGCGAGAAAAAAACAACAAAAUUAAAACCGAAAAAAAUUAACAUAUUUUGAAGUGUGUAUUUUAAAAAUUUCAUUCAUUGAGACACUCAGAAUCACGGUGACAGAAUGAGUGAGUGUGUGUGUGUGUAUGCGUGUAAACGAAUGCGUGUGUGGAAAGCGGAGAUCUCAAUAAAGGAGUGGAAGGCCAAGAGGCCGGGAUUAAAUUGAUUUAAGACAGAGACUUACAGUUUAAUUUUAUGGCGUUGGCCUCCUCCCAGUUUAUAAUUUAUUUAUAUAAGAUUCUUUUAACUGUUGUUGUUGUUGUUUUUGAAAUUUCUUGUUUUAAUGAUUGAUGUUAACAUAUUUAAUUGGUUUUAGGAAGUGACGUCAUUUUACACCCAUACAAACACAAAAAUUAAAGCAAUUUUUUUAUAAUAAGUUUUUAUUUAAAAUUUUAAACAAUUACAGCAACAUUCUCACUCAUACGCUCACACUCAAUUAAAUUAACACUCAUUUAAUACAACAACAAUAAGAGAAAAGAAAAAAACAAACUGCAAAGAUGAAUUAAAUAAAAUUAUAUUGUGAAAUACACAAAAGUGUCAAUAACCCUAAAAUUUUUGUUUUUAUAAUUUUUAAUAUUAUUAUUAAUUAUAUUAAAAUUUAAAACAGACCAUCUACAAUAGGGAGAGUGCAAAAAUAGACCAGAGAAAGAGAGCAAAAGUGGUAAAAUACAUAGAAACAAAUAAUUUUAUUUAAAACAAAAUUAAAAAAAAAAUAAAUUAAAUUAAAAAAUUCUACUCGUACCUUAAAUAUCAAGAUAAAUAAUAAACACAACUAGAAACAAAAUAAAAUAGCAGCAAAAACAACAACAACAAAAUACAUAUAUUUAUAAAAAAAUAUAUAUAUAAAAAAAUGGCAAGAAAUAUUAUCAACAGCCUUGAAAAAGUUUAAAUACCUUUUUUAAAAAAAAAUUUAUAUACGAAAUGUAUACAAACAAACAACACAGCAACAAAUUGUAUUCAAAACAACAACAAGAACAACAUCCAUACUAGUAAAAUAAACUGAUUCUACACUUCGAAUGACGUGACGGAUGAUGAUGGGCCAGACCAGCAUUGGAGAGGAGUUAAACAAGAACUAUGUGAUGAAAAAAAGUAGAACCGAAGAAGAAGAGAUGCAUCCACAAUGAAAAAAAAACAAGUCUCACCACUACCAACAGCAGCAAAAGAAAUCUACAACGCAGAAAAUGGUUAACAAAACUGUCUUAAAGGAUUUUUGUUGUUUUUUUUUUUGUUCAUCUUCUACUUUUUUAAACAAUCGAUUUCAGUUUUUUUUAUUUAUUUUUCUUUAAAUAAACAUUGUCAUUCUCUGCACAUUUUGUUUAAAAAACAAAUUUUUUGAUUUAUUUUUUUAAAUUAAUAUAUUUUAUCUAAAGUUUGAAAUCUUUUUGGCUUAAAACAUUUUAAAUGCCUUAAGGGUGUCUUUUUGAAUAAAAAUUUAGUUUCUUAAAACCUACAGUAUUGCACAAAU